UCGAACGAUGAACCUCCUUCGGGAGGGGAUUAGUGGCGAACGGGUGAGUAACACGUGGGCAAUCUGCCCUUCACUCUGGGACAAGCCCUGGAAACGGGGUCUAAUACCGGAUACGACUACCGACCGCAUGGUCUGGUGGUGGAAAGCUCCGGCGGUGAAGGAUGAGCCCGCGGCCUAUCAGCUUGUUGGUGGGGUGAUGGCCUACCAAGGCGACGACGGGUAGCCGGCCUGAGAGGGCGACCGGCCACACUGGGACUGAGACACGGCCCAGACUCCUACGGGAGGCAGCAGUGGGGAAUAUUGCACAAUGGGCGAAAGCCUGAUGCAGCGACGCCGCGUGAGGGAUGACGGCCUUCGGGUUGUAAACCUCUUUCAGCAGGGAAGAAGCGAGAGUGACGGUACCUGCAGAAGAAGCGCCGGCUAACUACGUGCCAGCAGCCGCGGUAAUACGUAGGGCGCAAGCGUUGUCCGGAAUUAUUGGGCGUAAAGAGCUCGUAGGCGGCUUGUCACGUCGGAUGUGAAAGCCCGGGGCUUAACCCCGGGUCUGCAUUCGAUACGGGCAGGCUAGAGUUCGGUAGGGGAGAUCGGAAUUCCUGGUGUAGCGGUGAAAUGCGCAGAUAUCAGGAGGAACACCGGUGGCGAAGGCGGAUCUCUGGGCCGAUACUGACGCUGAGGAGCGAAAGCGUGGGGAGCGAAACAGGAU
rnacentral:rRNA from 1 species